CAUCGCGUUCUCUUCCCAAGUUGGUUUUCUGGUGGAAAAAAAUUGUAGGUCAGUCAAACGCGAUCUAUCUCUAUCGCUCCCGAACCCACCUCUUCCCCUUCCGAUCUGGUCGCCGCCGAAUCUGGCGUCGCCCCCCACCCCCCACCCCCGCGCUCGGUUCCCGUCCAGAACCUGCCACCUACGACGGAGCGAGGCCGCCGAAGCCGGCGACAAAAGGAUUCGAAGCAGCCGGCCGGAGCUACUUUGACUUCGACGUUGAGGAGGGCGUCGGCCUCAGCUCCUGGCCUCCCAGGGCCCGCCGCCGCUGGGCUCGUACAUGGUCAGGUGCGGGCGACUCGGAGAGGAGCUUUGGCCGUAAGGACUAUACAGCUUAGUUUCUCCUGGGAUCACGUUCUCCGGACGUCCAUUGAGUUUCCGAGCAAAGUCCGGGCCUCCAGGUUUAUCUACACAUCCACGUAAUAAGGCAACUGUGUAACAAUUAUCAAGCCUGGUUGAGAAGAAGAGAAUGCAAAAGAUCAAUUUAUCUUCAUGAGUAGGAAAGUAUUAAUCAAUCUCUAAAUAAAGUAAUGAGAUCAAUUCCUCAGAAUGCAGGCCGAGGCUGCUAGCUUGUACAUGGAUUCCUAGAUGCCGUACUAAUGAAGAAGAUAGCAAGCCGUCGAUUGCUGCAACAGGGCGGCAGGGAAGAUCCAAGUCAGCCGACGGUUGUCAAGGCAACAGUAACCUUCUAAAGGACCUUCCUAUAGUCUCCUGCCAAUGCCGGAUUAGAUCGAGGUCGCGGUGGAUUGGGUGAAUCGCGCGUACCUAGGUAUAGCCUCAUGACGCGAGGAGAACUCGUCACACUCGGCAGCGCCAAGCAGCGGUCCAAAACAUAUUAAAGUUCCAUGGAUCAAGAAGGCACGGCAGACGAAGAAAGGUGACGGGCAUGGGGAACGCGACGAUGGAGAGCUUGACGAGGAAGCCCGUCCACCACCGACGCCAGAGCCAGCAGGACGUAACCCCCGACAAGGCGUGUUGCCGGGGGAAGGAGGAGGUGGAGCAGAUGAUGGUGCUGCCACUGAUGGUAAGCUGGAGUCGGAGUCGUCGUCCUCCCGCCCGCUGCCUCGUCAUCGCUGGCGUUGUCCUCCUCGCCACUGUCGUUCGAGGAGGAGCUUUCGUCGUUAGUGGAACUCUCCACGCAGCACCCUAAGCGGAUUCCUGAGCUCCCGAAGACCUUGACGGAGAGCAGGCUGUUCUCCAUUAACUUAAAAUGGAGAACGUGCCCCUCCGACAAGCUGUGGGCACGUGCAAAAGUUUUCCACCCACAGCAGAGCUACAUGACGUGAGGGAGCGGGAAGCCAACAUUGACCCAUGUGCUACCAUUCCCGCAGCCCCUCAGGUGUAGCCUGAAAGCCUGCAGCGGAUCCUGCUCCAUCACCCAUGCAAACGGGGUAGGGAGACGGAGAUGGCCGUCACGCGCUUGUACAAGCGGAUGAAGAACUCGAGGGGCUGGUCUCCGUCAUGGCCGUCCAUUGGAGGAGGGGCCGCCAGCGAAAGCGCAGCCGGCGCGCCGCCCCGUCCUCCUCUUCCCCAAGCACCAUGGUAACCUCGGCCCCGUCCAUGUCCUCUCCCCCUUGCAGUGGGCUCUGCCACCAGAAGCUUCAGGGGAGGAGGGGCAUGCUGUCGAGAAGAAGCCCUCGUCACCGCUGUCGAAGCACCGGUGCACCCUCUCACCAUGGCGAAUGGAAGAAAGAUGUCAAGCAGAAGGAGGAGAGAAGGACGAGUGUGGAGAAGCACCAUCCCUCUCCCUUUUUAUAGAAGAGCAAGGCCAGGGCCUGGCCACCCAACCCAAAGGGUGGCCGCCCCACACGACCAAUGCGGCCUCCUGAAGCACGGGGAAUCAGAACCGACCCGCUCCCCAAUCAACAAACGCCUGGUUUCCUGCCUCGGCGUUAAUGCCCACGUCCUCGCAUCCAUCGCCUGCCCUUCCCAAGGCAUGGAGGAUACGUGGCAGAGCGAGAGGGGGCGUGAGGAUAGGCAGGAUGACCAUUUUCCACCUCGUGAUCGUGGGGUGCAGCGCCAUGCAGGCUGUGACCCGAGUCCACUUAGUAAGCCCCUGCAUAUUCCUUCUUUUAAAAAAAGGGAGGCACGGACCGCCUCUUUACUAUCGACUGCGAGAUGACGCAAGCACGCUGAGGCCAUCCCACGCACGACCCCCACGUCACGCACUCGACGCGGAUUGUGGGGAAGCGCAACUGGCAAGAAGAUCAUGGAAGAUUAAGCCUCUACCACGCGUGCCCGCGCACUGCGUUGGGCCUGGCCCAACUACCCCUCGCGCGCACGUGUGGCCCAGGCCCGGGGCUCCCAUCGGUGUACAAAAGUACGGAAUCUUUUGUACCCCUUACUUGUGCACGAGCAAUUGUAGCCACGCCUAUGGCCGGGCCCGGUAGGGCAGCAGAAGACAAAACACGAAGACUACCAAGACAGAUACUUGAAGCACAAGGAGCAGAGGGCAAGCUGGACCUCCCCCGGCAACACCCUUGCUAGGGUGACCUGCGCAAUACCAGCUAGCCCAUCACCCUUGAGGCUGAGAGCUCAGACACCAUCGACAACGUUAAGACCAUGAUCUGAGAACGCAUGCUUGGUAAGCAUGCAGAUCCUCAUAAAGAUUGACAACCCACGGGUCCACGUGGGACCAGAAGACAAAGACCCCCGGCAAGACCCUUGCCGGGGACGACUCCAAGGCCCCAGGCAAGCCUUGCCGGGGAUGAUCGCUGGGCCGCGGCUAGACCCGCGCCCGGCAAGGGCUCGCCACCUUACCACUACUCCAGUGCGACGAUUGGCGUGUCAACUAAGCAAACGCCUGCGUGGCAGCAUGUAGAUCUUCGUGGAAGCUUUACCAUUGUGCCAAACACAGCAACUAGUUAGCCAGGGUGGCACCGCAUGCCUCGUCAGCCUGGACGCGUGUCGAAGGAAGGAAGAGCGGCGACAGACAAGAUGGCUUCUGUUGCCAUCCCCAAUAAAGGAAGAAGGCACAUAGGCAGCACAUUAAAUGCGUUUGUCCUGCGGUGCCGAGUGAUAAGCUCAUACACUAUAGCUUGCCACCUCCUGUGUGCCAUUGUGGCAACCCCUUUAUGUAUAAAAGGAGGCCCAAAGCAUACAGAGAGAGGAUUCAGACUUUUGGACCGUGCAUGCAUCGUAGCUAUUUCAAAAGCUCAAGAACACAUAUAUCCAGACAAGCAGGACUAGGGUAUUACGCAUCUCUACGACCCGAACCUGGGUAAAACCCUGUGUGCUAACGGCUCGACCUGCUCUUCGUGCAGCUAAUCCCCCGCCAAACAUAGAAGGGAUCCUUGUGACCCAUAGGUGUUCUUUUUCCCCAACACUGUCAAUCACUAUCUUAUCUGGAAGAUUAAUUCCCACUUGAUUCAAGCGAUUGUAGUACCCAGGCAUUCAGAGCACAUGCUCACUAGCUGAGCUAUUCUCCUCCAUCUUGUAGGCAAAGUACUUGU